rnacentral:rRNA from 1 species
GACGAACGCUGGCGGCGUGCUUAACACAUGCAAGUCGAACGGAAAGACCCUGCUUUUGUGGGGUGCUCGAGUGGCGAACGGGUGAGUAACACGUGAGUAACCUGCCCUUGACUUUGGGAUAACUUCAGGAAACUGGGGCUAAUACCGGAUAGGAGCUCCUGCUGCAUGGUGGGGGUUGGAAAGUUUCGGCGGUUGGGGAUGGACUCGCGGCUUAUCAGCUUGUUGGUGGGGUAGUGGCUUACCAAGGCUUUGACGGGUAGCCGGCCUGAGAGGGUGACCGGCCACAUUGGGACUGAGAUACGGCCCAGACUCCUUCGGGAGGCAGCAGUGGGGAAUAUUGCACAAUGGGCGGAAGCCUGAUGCAGCAACGCCGCGUGCGGGAUGACGGCCUUCGGGUUGUAAACCGCUUUCGCCUGUGACGAAGCGUGAGUGACGGUAAUGGGUAAAGAAGCACCGGCUAACUACGUG